CUUUGUAUUAAGUAAAAAACAAGUAAAAAUUUUUUGUUAGUAUUCAUUUCUUUAGUUAAUGCUUUGUAUUAAUUAAUUAUAAUAAAAAAAAAGUGGGAUCUUGAAGGUUUGUAGAUGACGAUCUCACCACAGCAAGGUUGUGCCCAGCUCAAACCUUCAAAUUGCAUAUACUGUACUUAAAGUUUUGAGUCCCACAGCUGCAAAACUGUAUUUAGGCUGAUGUUUCAUGGUAGUGGUCAUAUCAAAAACUUUUAUAAUGAUGGAGCCAGAGCCGGAGCUAAAGCUUGUUUUAAAACAAUGAUGCCGGAGCUGGAGCCACAGCUGAAAUAUACUGUGGCUCUGGAGCCGGUGCCGGAGCCUAAUUUAUUUCAGGCCAGCUCCCCAGCCUUGCUUGUAAGAUGUGCAAAUGAAGAGAGGGACUAAUGAAAUGUAAGUAUAUUUUUGGCAGGUUUCAAAAUUAAAAAAAGGUGCUUUUUGAAUUACCAACAUACUAAUUAUGAAUAUUUAUACUUAAGCAUGAAAUUUUAUUUUCAAAUUUCAAAAAAUUUCAAAAACUCUUCAAGAAUUUUAAAUAUUAUGACAGCAGAAUGCUUUAG
rnacentral:lncRNA from 1 species